rnacentral:rRNA from 1 species
CACGUAGGGUGCGAGCGUUGUCCGGAAUUAUUGGGCGUAAAGAGCUCGUAGGCGGUGUGUCGCGUCGGCCGUGAAAACCUGCAGCUUAACUGUGGGCUUGCGGUCGAUACGGGCAUCACUGGAGUUCGGCAGGGGAGAACGGAAUUCCCGGUGUAGCGGUGAAAUGCGCAGAUAUCGGGAGGAACACCGGUGGCGAAGGCGGUUCUCUGGGCCUGUACUGACGCUGAGGAGCGAAAGCGUGGGGAGCGAACAGG